ACAAGGCCACAGAGGAACAACAAGAAAGGAAUAACAUGAAUAGAAGACUUGGCGAACCGGGCCCGGGACUUAUGCCUCAUAGCCAGAAAAGAACUCGGAUGCAAAGACGGCAAUUCAUUAUCCAACAACAAAUCAGACUCUGAUGAAGAUGGUGAAGGUGACAUAGAGGAUUGUCUCAUCACCAAGGAAGGCAAGGAUGGUGAAGCUGACAAUGUCGAAUUUCGUUUCGUGUCGGAGAAUGUGUUUGAGCUGGAAGAUCUGUUCAUGUUAAUGACAAUGUAAUGAUCUUGUGUUGUUGUUUGAGAUUGGAGUUGAAUCAGAUCACAGAGG
rnacentral:lncRNA from 1 species